rnacentral:rRNA from 1 species
UACGGAGGGUGCGAGCGUUGUCCGGAAUCAUUGGGCGUAAAGGGCGCGUAGGUGGCUUCUUAAGCGUGCGGUGAAAGCCUGGGGCUCAACCCCGGGUCGGCCGUGCGAACUGGGGGGCUGGAGCACUGUAGAGGCAGGCGGAAUUCCGGGUGUAGCGGUGAAAUGCGUAGAUAUCGGGAGGAACACCUGUGGCGAAAGCGGCUCACUGGACCACUACUGACGCUGAUGCACGAAAGCUAGGGGAGCAAACAGG